UUAAAAAUACGCAUGGGAAGCUGACAAUGUCUAUAACCCAUCAAACAGCUCUUUACAAUAGGAACUUAAUUACUUUUUACUUAGGGAAAAUUACUUUCUGAAACACUGACUGAUUUGGGGAGCUCAACCAACAUUUGUGUGUGUGUGUGUGUGUAUGUGUG